rnacentral:rRNA from 1 species
AACGGAAAGGCCCAAGCUUGCUUGGGUACUCGAGUGGCGAACGGGUGAGUAACACGUGGGUGAUCUGCCCUGCACUUCGGGAUAAGCCUGGGAAACUGGGUCUAAUACCGGAUAGGACCACUUCUUGGAUGUUGUGGUGGAAAGUUUUUUCGGUGUGGGAUGAGCUCGCGGCCUAUCAGCUUGUUGGUGGGGUAAUGGCCUACCAAGGCGUCGACGGGUAGCCGGCCUGAGAGGGUGUACGGCCACAUUGGGACUGAGAUACGGCCCAGACUCCUACGGGAGGCAGCAGUGGGGAAUAUUGCACAAUGGGCGCAAGCCUGAUGCAGCGACGCCGC